GUCGGACGGCAGCACAGAGAAGCUUGCUUCUUGGGUGGCGAGUGGCGAACGGGUGGGUAAUAUAUCGGAACGUACCGAGUAAUGGGGGAUAACUAAUCGAAAGAUUAGCUAAUACCGCAUAUUCUCUGAGGAGGAAAGCAGGGGACCUUCGGGCCUUGCGUUAUUCGAGCGGCCGAUAUCUGAUUAGCUAGUUGGUGGGGUAAAGGCCUACCAAGGCGACGAUCAGUAGCGGGUCUGAGAGGAUGAUCCGCCACACUGGGACUGAGACACGGCCCAGACUCCUACGGGAGGCAGCAGUGGGGAAUUUUGGACAAUGGGCGCAAGCCUGAUCCAGCCAUGCCGCGUGUCUGAAGAAGGCCUUCGGGUUGUAAAGGACUUUUGUCAGGGAAGAAAAGGAUAGGGUUAAUACCCCUGUCUGAUGACGGUACCUGAAGAAUAAGCACCGGCUAACUACGUGCCAGCAGCCGCGGUAAUACGUAGGGUGCGAGCGUUAAUCGGAAUUACUGGGCGUAAAGCGAGCGCAGACGGUUACUUAAGCAGGAUGUGAAAUCCCCGGGCUCAACCUGGGAACUGCGUUCUGAACUGGGUGACUAGAGUGUGUCAG
rnacentral:rRNA from 1 species